GGCGCGGUGGCUGAGCUGUAAAGCGCUUGGCUUCCGAACUGGGGCCCCGGGUUCGAAUCCCUGUGUGCCU
rnacentral:tRNA from 1 species